GCGCUCGCUUACGCAGCCCAUGCACUAAAAUGGGAACAAUACAGAGAUUAGCGUGGCCCCCGUGUAAGGAUGACACGCAAAUGGGUGAAGCGUAAAAACAAUAA